rnacentral:rRNA from 1 species
UACGAAGGGGGCUAGCGUUGUUCGGAAUUACUGGGCGUAAAGCGCACGUAGGCGGAUUGUUAAGUCGGGGGUGAAAUCCUGGGGCUCAACCCCAGAACGGCCUUCGAUACUGGCGAUCUUGAGUUCGGAAGAGGUUGGUGGAACAGCUAGUGUAGAGGUGAAAUUCGUAGAUAUUAGCUAGAACACCAGUGGCGAAGGCGGCCAACUGGUCCGAUACUGACGCUGAGGUGCGAAAGCGUGGGGAGCAAACAGG